AUGUACACGGCUUACCAGGUGGACGAACAUACGUUCAAGGUGUGUUCUCUCUUGGGCAUGUCGGAUUCAGAACCUGAUGACCCAGACAAAGGAAGGAACUACUUUGUGAAGGCCUCGAUAAGCGAAGGCGAAUACUACUGCCGAUGCUGCAAAUUUGAACAGGAUGGGAUUGUGUGCUGUCACAGACUAAAAGUAAUGGACAUGAACGCGGUGACACGAAUGCCCCGCCAUUUCAUACGGCGGCAAUGGACUUGGGACGCUGACGACGCAUUGGGGCCACAAACAUCAAAUGCAGUUUCGGCUAUGCAUGAUGAGAGACCAGAGUCAACCUUGGAAGCCGUGAGGCACAUUGUGUUGACAAAGGAUAAUGCUGAACUAAUAGAUGAAGCGUGCAAGAGUGAUGAGACAGCGAGGGUUGCAGAAAAACAUAGGAAGGCCCUGAAAAGAGAGCUUGAUGAGAUCAAGAAGAGGAAAGCUGAGGAAGCCUUAGACAGGUCCCCCCGCACCUCAAGUGUGCCUUCGUCCACGGGGCCAGCAUCUGAAAACUCGAAGGUAGGAUCUGGAACAGCAAGCACACAAACCCAGGUCAGGAACCCUCCCCGUUCCAUCACAAAGGGGCGUCCAAAAGAGAUAAGAUACAAACUGGGAUUGGAGAUUCAAGCAAAACACAAGAAAAGAAAGAAAGGGUCGGGCAAUCCGUAA
rnacentral:rRNA from 1 species